AGCUUUAUAGUUUAUUAAGAAUUUUAAAUUGCAAAUUUAAAGGAGCAUGUACUGUUAAAGCUU
rnacentral:tRNA from 1 species